rnacentral:rRNA from 1 species
UGCAAGUCGAACGGUAGUAUGGUGCUUGCACUAUAUGAGAGUGGCGGACGGGUGAGUAACACGUAGAUAAUCUACCCUUGUGUUGGGGAUAGCUUAUGGAAACAUAGGGUAAUACCGAAUACGGUCUUAGAAUCGAUAGGGUUUUAAGAAGAAAGGUGCUACGGCAUCGCACGAGGAGGAGUCUGCGGUAGAUUAGCUAGUUGGUAAGGUAAAGGCUUACAAGGCGACGAUCUAUAGCCGGCCUGAGAGGGUGAACGGCCACACUGGGACUGAGAACGGCCCAGACUCCUACGGGAGGCAGCAGCUAAGAAUCUUCCGCAAUGGACGAAAGUCUGACGGAGCGACGCCGCGUGAACGAAGAAGGCAGAGAUGUUGUAAAGUUCUUUUAUCAGGGAGGAAUAAUGAGAGGAGGGAAUGCCUUUCAGAUGACGUUAACUGAUGAAUAAGCCCCGGCAAAUUACGUGCCAGCAGCCGCGGUAACACGUGAGGGGCGAGCGUUGUUCGGAAUUAUUGGGCGUAAAGGGCGCGUAGGCGGUUUUGCAAGUCUGAUGUAAAAGGUGUGGGCUUAACCCGCACAAGCGUUGGAAACUGUAGAACUAGAGUAGUUGAGGGGGAGCUGGAAUUCCUAGUGUAGAGGUAAAAUUUGUAGAUAUUAGGAAGAACACCGGAGGCGAAGGCGAGCUCCUGGCAACCUACUGACGCUGAGGCGCGAAAGUUUGGGUAGCGAACAGGAUUAGAUACCCUGGUAGUCCUUACUGUAAACGAUGUGCACUGGAUGUUGGUCAUAAGAUCGGUAUCGAAGCUAACGCGAUAAGUGCACCGCCUGGGGAGUAUGCCGGCAACGGUGAGACUCAAAGGAAUUGACGGGCCCCCGCACAAGCGUGGAGCAUGUGGUUUAAUUCGAUGAUACGCGAGAAACCUUACCAGGGCUUGACAUAUAUUUGACGACCAUAGAGAUAUGGUUUCUCUUCGGAGC